GGCCAGGACGUUGGUGCAGCCGGGCACUGUGCCAGGGGUGGGGCAGGUAGCAGAUCAGCCUGCCACUCCCUGCGCCCAGCCUGCAGCUCCCUGGGCCCGCUGCCUGCUGGGCCGUGCUGCCUGUGUGGGGCUGCAUUCCUCAUGUGGACACCUCAGCUUCGUGAGGCUGUGGGCCUUGCCUCUUUGGUUCAGAUCUGGUUGGUGCCUUACUUUAUGAAACUGCCUGAUGAUCAAUAAGGACACUUCAUGUGUGUGUAAAAGGAGAAGACUGGCAUGAACCCUGCAGAACUCGCUCGGCAACAGGUCAUUAACAAUUCUAAGAAGUAUAUAAAGUAAACCAUAACAAAAGAAAGAAGCCUUGGGAUUUAUCUGAGAUUUCCUCCAUUAAGGAAUUUGGCCGUAUGGACUUUGCUUAUGCUACUGCACAAGAAACGGAACAGUGAAGUAUUCUGGGAUCUGUAGUUCAUUCUUUCUCUUCUGAGAACCAGACAUCUGGAACAAUCGGCAAUCCAUGGAAUGGCAGCAUUAACUCUUUAACUCCCAGUGCACUACAUGAUGUUAUGAUGUGAAAUAUCAAUAAUGGAAAUCAUAAAACCAUGACACAUUGAAUUCCUCUGUGUGGAAAAAAUGGCGCCUGUUGAUGUUAGUCAACACUUGCUUAUGGAGAUGAAAUGUGGCUGUGAGCGCAGAGAGUUGGUGAGUGAUUUGUUUCAGCAGUGGCAAUAGCAAUAUGAAAGACAAGUCCCAGGCAGCCAUGCACAGCUGUCACACCAUGAAAUGAACAUCACCUCAACCAGAUCGCCCAUGCAAAUGAGCUAGUGGUGGUGAGUAUGUUGAAAAACAGUGUUAUGUAUGUAUUUUUCUCAAUCAAAUAGUGCUAUUGUGCUCUUUGUAUCUGUUGUACUUUCCAUGGAAACAAAUAGGAGGCAUUUCUUUCGGAGUGACUAACAUACAGAAGUAAUCUCUUUUUCCCCUGCACUCCCUUCUUGGUGUUGUAACAGUCUCUAAUAUACGAACUGCACAUUUUCUGUUUUUGUACUUUAGUUGAUCUACUUGAUCUAUGGAAAGUAAAACUUAAGUUUAUAUUUUUGUAACAAGUUUUCAGAUUAUCAGACUCAUUUACUUCUUCCCUCUACCUCUUCUUUGUUUGCAAGAAAACAAUUAAUAGAAAUGAGAAUUUUUAUGAUAGUGGCUAGGAUCGAGUUUUCAGCUUUCAAAAUUCUCAGUAUAUACAUACAGAUCAUAUUACCAUUGGGAAAGCUUUUAUUAAUCUCAAUGUCAGAACUGUUUCAACAAAUCUACUGUAAUAAUGAAAAGACAUCUUAUCACAUUUUGCUCUCAGUAAAUUUGCUAUUCUUUGAUAAGGUUGCAAACAAGUGGGAAGUAAUUGAUCUCUAAUUAGUGUGGCAACUGCACAAGACAGACUGCAGUGGGAUUUCAUCAUUUAUCUGCCCUGUGCUGUGCAUCCCGCUCUGUAACAUUAAAUUAUUUACCUUCUCCCUUCAAAUAUAAAUGGUUUUAUGCAUCCUCCAUUAUUCUAGGACCUCUCUGAAGAUGAAAAUAACAUCUGAAUUUCUGAUUAUUUGUCAGUGGUAGAGUUACUGCUGUAGCGAUCAUUUUUCACACAUGCCUUGCCAUGUCCUUAGUUAGCAAGCCAUUGUCUGCCCAUGCCUGUGAAUGGACACAAAAAAAGACUCUUUGAUCUGUACCCAGUUUGUGCUAUUUGCCACUUGGCUGCACUAAACCUUCUGAUAUAUGUGAUUGCCAUAGCUUCUUCAAGAGUUCAUAGAAUUCUUCAAGAGCUGUGGUAACUAAAAGGCAUGAGUUUAACAUGCUAUGGUACAGCAUCACCAUCAUCACAUUCAUUACAGUUUCCAGUUACCCAGAUGCUGUCAGCCACUCUUUCCUAAGAGUGUGUUCCAGGCCAUAAUGAGUGUCCAUGGUGAGAAGAGUGGCUUUUCAAUAUUUUUAUUUUUUUUAGUAGCAUGACUCUUUAACAUUGUAAAAGCAUGUAAAUUGGAUGAGUUUCUUCAGUGCUCUAUCCUUCCUUAAGUGCAAAAAGUGCAGAGAAGGAGAUAGCUGGCUGUUGGCCUGGGAAAAGAAGUGGCCAUAGUUUAAUUCACAUAACUGAAGAUGUAAGUUCUUUGGAAUAUGAAGAAGAGAGAUAUGGCGUUACCUUUUUGUCACUUAGCUUCAUUUUCUUUUCAUUAAUUGUUACGUUAUUCUGUUCUCCAAGAAGUCAAAAGGAGAGUCUGUCACUUGAACCAAAAAGUGUCAGGACAGUCACAUAUUAGUUCAUAUCUAGCCUCUCAAACUUUAUUAACGUUUACUGUAUAACCAACACAGAAAAACAAGCAGAGCAGAAUAUCAAGUGACAGUCCUCCAGCACUGUAUUUAGUGACAUGAUGAAAUUGUAGAUAUUAGUUUCCAUUCUGUUUCUUACACAUUGAGAAACUGGCUUUUUCUCCACAGCUGUAUAAUAAAUUAGAAGUUUUUGAUGAGCUGAUCAAGUUGAUAUGCUGAGCUACUGUUACAGAGCAUAACAAUUAGCCCAAGAGCUUUAAAAAUUCUUUCCAGUAUAUAUUUGCUACCAGCUAAUUUCAUUUGUUCAUUUCCUUAGCUUUGUUGUGCCCUCUGAAAUGCCUCAUGGUGUCAUCAGUAUCAAUGAAACCAAUCUCAGUAUUCCUGCCUGUUCUCUAAUUGACAAUCACUAAUGUAUUAACACCACCAGUCCUGCCUCAGCACUUUGAAUAGAUCCUUUUCUGUUGUAUACAUGCUCUACUUCUCAUGAUUGCUGUACGUAGUGCUUGAGCUAUCCCUUUUUGAAGCGGCCCCCUUAAGAUUCAUCUCUUUUCAUAUAACAGUUGGAGAGUGUCUAGUCUAGUAAUAGAACAUGGGCAGCAUUUUUUUCUGCCUACCACUGAUAGCAUAUGUUUUGAUGAUUUGCAGGUUUCCCUGCAGCCUGUUUUCUAGUAAAAAUUACACAUGUGAUGAGAAAUAGACAUCUUCCCAAGUGCCCCACCAGAUCUCUGUCGUGCAGAGCUUCACAGAUGGUGCUCAGACUGCUGCCAGAUUUUCUGUGAAUGGAAGUGGUUUACUUGAGCUCAGUCAUACUUCAGAUCUGGUUGCAUAAAGUAUCUGCCCUUAUUUGACUUCUCCUGUGCUCAGACUUACUGAGGAAAUCAAACAGAAGCCGAACUUCAUUAAGAUACACUAAUGGGGAUCUGGCAGAAAGCCUCUGAACACACAACUAAAUGGCAAAGGGGUACAUAGCCAGCACAAAGUAGAGUGUGAUGAUCACAGCCCAAGGUGAACACUUUGCACAGGUCUUGUGGGUGGCAGCUGGGGCACAUUUGUCUGCUCACUCAGCCCCUUGGCAUGCUCAGGAGCUGAGGAGUGGCCUCCUCUGCCUGUGCCUGGUGGCCACGUCAACACAACUUGCUCAUGCAUUUGCCACGUAGUUUCCACAGCCUCUACCUAAGCUGGGAAGUAUGGUUUAAAGCUGUCAGUUCUGGUCUCAAACUGUUCUAAGAAGUAGGUGGUGGUUUACUGAAAAAAAAAAAAAAAGAAGAGGUCUGUGUGUUUUUUUCGGAAUGGCGAUAAGAAAAAGCAGGUGUAUAAAUAUGUGAAGAUUAGCACUUGGCUCAGGAGGUUGGUAGUUACAAUUAGCUUACUGAUAUAAAUCCAGUUCAGAUGACCCGAAUUAGCUACCAAGUGACAGACUGAUGUGCUGGGUGACGUGAGUUUGGUCCCCUUCAUUCAGAACAAAGGAGACAAGUGUCCUCCCUUGCAAAAUCCCACUGCUGAUGCUGUGGGCUGGCAGAAACAAGGAAGACUCCCACAGAGGCUUUAGAUGAUUUCCCACGCAGUGCUUUUGGCUCUGGGCCUGCUAAGUUUGGCCAUGGGGUGUGCACGUAUGCAUGCAUGUGUGUUCAGGGUACUGCAGAGCCUGUGCCUCUGCAAGCUGUAGGGCCACGACAGGGCGGGCAGAGCAGCGUAGCUCCACAGCCCUGGCAGGGGAGGAUAUCUCUCCUGGGGGACCAAGAAGCAAGAAGCACCAC
ensembl:lncRNA